AUUGAACGCUGGCGGCAUGCCUUACACAUGCAAGUCGAACGGCAGCACGGGUGCUUGCCCCUGGUGGCGAUUGGCGAACGGGUGAGUAAUACAUCUGAACAUGUCCUGUAGUGGGGGAUAGCCCGGCCAAAGCCGGAUUAAUACCGCAUACGAACUACGGAUGAAAGCGGGGGACCUUCGGGCCUCGCGCUUUAGGGUUGGCCGAUGCCUGAUUAGCUAGUUGGUGGGGUAAAGGCCUACCAAGGCGACGAUCAGUAGCUGGUCUGAGAGGACGACCAGCCACACUGGGACUGAGACACGGCCCAGACUCCUACGGGAGGCAGCAGUGGGGAAUUUUGGACAAUGGGCGAAAGCCUGAUCCAGCAAUGCCGCGUGUGUGAAGAAGGCCUUCGGGUUGUAAAGCACUUUUGUCCGGAAAGAAAUCCUUGGCCCUAAUACGGUCGGGGGAUGACGGUACCGGAAGAAUAAGCACCGGCUAACUACGUG
rnacentral:rRNA from 1 species